UACGAGGGGGGCAAGCGUUGUUCGGAAUUAUUGGGCGUAAAGGGUGCGUAGGCGGUCUGACAAGUCUGAUGUGAAAUCUAUGGGCUCAACCCAUAGUCUGCAUCGGAAACUGUCGGGCUUGAGUAUGGGAGAGGUGAGUGGAAUUUCCGGUGUAGCGGUGAAAUGCGUAGAGAUCGGCAGGAACACCCAGGGGGGAAACCAGUGGACUGGGCAUGUGCUGACGCUCAGGUGCGAAAGCGUGGGGAGCGAACCGG
rnacentral:rRNA from 1 species